UAGUAGCUUACCAGUAAUGGCUCUGGUACAUUUGUUUAUCUCACAGUUGCUGCCUAGUAAUUGGUCUACAUGCUACAAUAUCUAGAACAUUUGAAGCUGUAGGCUAUACACAAGAAAAAUUCUAGGGUAUUGAGGAAAAAUCAACAAAUAAACGUGAGGACAUCCAGUCCUUGGUUUGACAUUGAAACAAGGGACCACCUAGAUCCAGUCAAAGGGGCCCUGAAGCUGGAAGCAGUAGAUUCCUCUGAAAUAUUGGUGAACUUCUACCAGAUCACACAGCAUUACAUCCAAGAAGUUUUACCAUCACUAACACAACUCUGGAAGAAACUGGGAGCAACUGAAACACCUAAUGCUUCUGACGUCAUUCCUGUUCGUGCCCU